GGAGUUAGGAAAUGUAGAUACGCUAAUAUCGUAUCUAUUUGACAAAGGCUCCAAAGGAAGCCACGGCUAACUCUGUGCCAGCAGCCGCGGUAAUACAGAGGUGGCAAGCGUUGUUCGGAAUUAUUGGUCGUAAAGAGCACGUAGGUGGAUUUGUAAGUCAGAUGUGAAAGCCUUCUGUUCAACGGAAGAAUUGCAUCUGAAACUACAAACCUUGAGUAUAGGAGGGGAGAGUGGAACUUCUGGU
rnacentral:rRNA from 1 species